rnacentral:rRNA from 1 species
GAUGAACGCUAGCGGCAGGCCUAACACAUGCAAGUCGAGGGGCAGCACAGAAACAGCAAUGUUUUGGUGGCGACCGGCGGACGGGUGCGUAACGCGUAUACAACCUACCUUUAACAGGGGGAUAACGGAGAGAAAUUCCCACUAAUACCCCAUAACAUCGAUCAAGGCAUCUUGAUUGGUUGAAAACUCCGGUGGUUAAAGAUGGGCAUGCGUUGUAUUAGGUAGUUGGUGAGGUAAUGGCUCACCAAGCCUACGAUACAUAGGGGGACUGAGAGGUUAGCCCCCCACACUGGUACUGAGACACGGACCAGACUCCUACGGGAGGCAGCAGUGAGGAAUAUUGGUCAAUGGGGGCAACCCUGAACCAGCCAUGCCGCGUGCAGGAAGACGGCUCUAUGAGUUGUAAACUGCUUUUAAACAGGGAUAAAGCACAGUAUGUAUACUGUGUUGAAGGUACUGUAAGAAUAAGGAUCGGCUAACUCCGUGCCAGCAGCCGCCGUAA